rnacentral:rRNA from 1 species
UACGGAGGAUGCAAGCGUUAUCCGGAAUGAUUGGGCGUAAAGGGUCCUGAGGUGGCUGGCUUAGUCUACUGUGAAAGAUCAGGGCUUAACCCUGAACAGGCGGUGGAAACUAGCAAGCUAGAGUACGGUAGGGGCGGAGGGAAUUCCCGGUGUAGUGGUGAAAUGCGUAGAUAUCGGGAGGAACACCAGUGGCGAAGGCGACUUCCUGGCCUGUUCUUGACGCUGAGGCGCGAAAGCUAGGGGAGCAAACGGG